CCUGGCUCAGAUUGAACGCUGGCGGCAGGCCUAACACAUGCAAGUCGAGCGGUAACACAAGGGAGCUUGCUUCUGAGGUGACGAGCGGCGGACGGGUGAGUAAUGCCUAGGGAUCUGCCCAGUCGAGGGGGAUAACAGUUGGAAACGACUGCUAAUACCGCAUACGCCCUACGGGGGAAAGGAGGGGACCUUCGGGCCUUCCGCGAUUGGAUGAACCUAGGUGGGAUUAGCUAGUUGGUGAGGUAAUGGCUCACCAAGGCGACGAUCCCUAGCUGUUCUGAGAGGAUGAUCAGCCACACUGGGACUGAGACACGGCCCAGACUACUACGGGAGGCAGCAGUGGGGAUAUUGCACAAUGGGGGAAACCCUGAUGCAGCCAUGCCGCGUGUGUGAAGAAGGCCUUCGGGUUGUAAAGCACUUUCAGUAGGGAGGAAAGGUAAUAGUUUAAUAAACUAUUACUGUGACGUUACCUACAGAAGAAGGACCGGCUAACUCCGUGCCAGCAGCCGCGGUAAUACGGAGGGUCCGAGCGUUAAUCGGAAUUACUGGGCGUAAAGCGUGCGCAGGCGGUUUGUUAAGCCAGAUGUGAAAUCCCCGGGCUCAACCUGGGAAUUGCAUUUGGAACUGGCGAACUAGAGUCUUGUAGAGGGGGGUAGAAUUCCAGGUGUAGCGGUGAAAUGCGUAGAUAUCUGGAGGAAUACCGGUGGCGAAGGCGGCCCCCUGGACAAAGACUGACGCUCAUGCACGAAAGCGUGGGGAGCAAACAGGAUUAGAUACCCCGGUAGUCCACGCCGUAAACGAUGUCUACUCGGAGUUUGGUGACUUAGUCACUGGGCUCCCAAGCUAACGCAUUAAGUAGACCGCCUGGGGAGUACGGCCGCAAGGU
rnacentral:rRNA from 1 species